rnacentral:rRNA from 1 species
GAAGUAAAAGUCGUAACAAGGUUUCCGUAGGUGAACCUGCGGAAGGAUCAUUAUUGAAACACGCAACUCUUGUUGUGAAAGGUCUCUCGAGUACGUCGGCCCCAAGAAGCCGGCAGAAAGAGCCCUCAUCACCCCUUUUGUGUACCUUACCACGUUGCUUUGGCGGGCCGACCCGGUUUUCGACCCGGGCGGCCGGCGCCCCCAGCCCCCAACCGGGGCCAGGACGUCCGGCUAAGUGCCCGCCAGUAUACCAAACUCAAGCGAUUAUUUCGUGAAGUCCUGACACUAUCAUUCAAUUGAUUUAAAACUUUCAACAACGGAUCUCUUGGUUCUGGCAUCGAUGAAGAACGCAGCGAAAUGCGAUAAGUAAUGUGAAUUGCAGAAUUCAGUGAAUCAUCGAAUCUUUGAACGCACAUUGCGCCCUCUGGUAUUCCGGAGGGCAUGCCUGUUCGAGCGUCAUUUCACCGCUCAAGCUCUGCUUGGUGUUGGGCGACGUCCGCCGCCGGAUGCGCCUCGAAGACCUCGGAGACGGCGUCCCAGCCUCGAGCGUAGUAGUAAAAUAUGUCGCUUUGGAGCGCUAGACGACGGCCGCCGGACAAAUCGACCUUGGGUCUAUAUUCUUCCAAAGGUUGACCUCGGAUCAGGUAGGGGUACCCGCUGGACUUAAGCAUAUC